rnacentral:rRNA from 1 species
GACGAACGCUGGCGGCGUGCUUAACACAUGCAAGUAGAACGGAAAGGCCCUGCUUUUGUGGGGUGCUCGAGUGGCGAACGGGUGAGUAACACGUGAGUAACCUGCCCUUGACUUUGGGAUAACUUCAGGAAACUGGGGCUAAUACCGGAUAGGAGCUCCUGCUGCAUGGUGUGGGUUGGAAAGUUUCGGCGGUUGGGGAUGGACUCGCGGCUUAUCAGCUUGUUGGUGGGGUAGUGGCUUACCAAGGCUUUGACGGGUAGCCGGCCUGAGAGGGUGACCGGCCACAUUGGGACUGAGAUACGGCCCAGACUCCUACGGGAGGCAGCAGUGGGGAAUAUUGCACAAUGGGCGGAAGCCUGAUGCAGCAACGCCGCGUGCGGGAUGACGGCCUUCGGGUUGUAAACCGCUUUCGCCUGUGACGAAGCGUGAGUGACGGUAAUGGGUAAAGAAGCACCGGCUAACUACGUG